rnacentral:lncRNA from 1 species
GGUGGAUCACCUUAGGGUCAAGGGCUGGAGACCAGCCUGACCAAGAUGGUGAAACCCCAUCUCUACUAAAAUUACAAAAAUUAGCCAGGCGCAGUGGCGUGUGCCUGUAAUCCCAGCUACUUGGGAGGCUGAGGCAGGAGAAUUGCUUGAACCCAGGAGGCGGAGGUUGCAGUGAGCCGAGAUCAUGCCAAUGCGCUCCAGCCUGGGCGACAAAGAGAGACUCCAUCUCAAAAAAAAAAAAA